rnacentral:lncRNA from 1 species
GAAAAACAAUAUUACUAAAUUUCUACCCUGAAAGUAUAAACUCUUCAAAGUUUUUAAAAAUCUUCUUUACUUUUAAAAAAAUGAACUUAUUUUUAAGUUCAUUUUAUUCCCUUUGCUAGGAUUGUAGACCUAGACAUGACCUGCCAUUUACUUCUUGUGCUGUGAUUUGCAAACUUGGCAUAUAUUCAUUUAAAUAUAACUCAACACCAGCUUCUUUUCAUAAAACUCUCUUUUUUAUAGAUUGUCUGUUAUCACAGCCACAAAGGCAGGACUGAACCAUGGGAGCAGAAGGGCACGCAACAACUGGGGAAGUUCCGUUUGUAAGACUAGAUUGUUGUCUCCAUGAUAUGAAUGACAAGAGCGUGUAUCUUGGAGACCUACCUCUGCAAUCUGUUGAAGUAUUUCAUUUGUAUUUGAUUGGACGUAAUUUAGCACCAUAGAUUGAAAUCAACUCCAAAUCAACCAAUUUUAAGGUUGCUUGUUGGAAGAGGGAAGAGAAGGAACUCUUCUCCAUGUCUACUACAAUUGAGCCAAGCUGUCUACGCUGAUGUAGUCUCUCCUCACCUGCAUCUCUCUGAACCCUAGUUUCUUCCAAGCAUCAUAUAUGGGACCUUCCUAAUCUCCUCUCCACUAGUGCCUCUCCCCACAUAGGAAAAAGUAGUACUGUGUAGCAGAAUGAAUUCUGGUAUUGAAAAAGAAGUGAAGGCAGUGAGGUUCUGGUUUUAUCUCUGUCAAUAAAUAGCUUUAUGACUUUCUUCCUUCA